GCCUCCGGUACCCACAGGCGGUUUAGCCGGAGAAAACAUAAGUGCCGGUACCCACGGGCGGUUUAGCCGGCAAAUAAACAACAAAAGAAAAAUUUUUUAUUAAGUGCAUACCAUAUAAACCCG